rnacentral:lncRNA from 1 species
AAGUUCCGCCCCGGGACAGGAAGGGGAGGGCGUCUGGUCUUUCCGUAGGGUUUCCUAGCGCUGGAAGAGGAGGGAAGGCAGCUCGGUGGAUGGGCGAGCUCGCCUCGCCCGCGUGAAGACGUGGGAAUAAAUAUGUGCGUACCCGCCAGCUAAUCAUAGCAUUCAUUCGGGUGAUGGGUCAGAACUUCAAUGUCGUUUUCGAAGCAGGCUUGGGAUACAUGGGACCGUGUCGCAAAAAUAAUGGGCGGAUGAAAAAGCCAGUUCUAGAAAUACCAGUUUGGAAUGCCUUGUACAAGAAAGUAAGGGAGGGCAGGAUAGAAGAGAACAGCUCACCUUCCAGCCGCCAGGAACCAGCAAGAGAAUCCAUGAGUUUUUAGUGACAUAGAGAAGCAAACAAAGGGGCCAGGGAAAUGGCUCAUCAAUGGUGACUUCAGUCUUCAGUGGCUCUUGCUUGUAGUGCUAGGACUAGGGAAAGCAGAGAAAGGCUGAUCCCCGAGUCUGCUGGCUAGCUGCUGUGAGGGCCCUGAUGAAGAAUAAUGAAGGGCUGGUGGGAUGGCUCAGCCAGCAAAGGCACUCGCUAAACAAGCCCAUCGAGCUGACCUUGAUGCCUGGCACUCAUAAUGGAAGGAGAGAAGUGACCUCUAAAAAUCAUCCCCUGAGCUGGCCAGUGGUGGUGCACACCUUAGAUCCCAGCACUCGGAAGGCAGAGACAGGAGGAUCUCUGUGAGUUCAAGGCCAGCCUGAUCUACAGAGCCAGUUCCAGGACAGCCAGGGACUACACAGAGAAACUUUCCUGUCUCGAAAAACUACUAAUAGUAAUGCUGAUGACUCCUCUAAAGAAACCCUAGUUCAAUCUCUGCCUAUAUGAACACAUGUGCUAGUGCAUGUGCAGCCACACCCCGUGUUCAUAUAUAUACACACACAGAGAAAGAUAGACAGACCAUGAUGGCCAUAAUCCCAGGACUUGGAAGGCUGAGGCAAGAGAACUACGAAUUCAAGGCCAGCUGGGCUACAGAUACUGCCUCAAAAGCUGGCUCAAGGGUUGAAAGCACUGCUUGCCCUUCCAUGGGGCCUGGGUUCACCUCUCAGCAUGCACAUGGCAGUUCACAACCAUGUGUAACUCCAGUUCCAAGGAAUCUGAUGCCUGCUUCAGGCUUCCAUGGGCACCAGGCAUGCACAUGGUGCACAGCACACAGGUAGACAAAAUACUUAUAUACACAAAAACAAGCAAAGCACACACAGGAAAGAAAGAAAAGAAUAAACAAGGAGAAGAGAAACUUGCAGCCUCUCCUUUUAUUAGAACGGCAAGUAGUAAAUAGGAUUUGGAAGGUCAGGAGUGAGGAAACGAAACAGGAUACUUACACAGAUGUGCCUCUCACCAAUUAGUCACCACAAUGCAAAACUCGUACUGUUAUAAUCUCUUGGUCCAGAAGAACAAAUUAAUCAAGGCAACCAAUGUCAACAUCUCCUCAAUGGGUCAUGCAGCGAUCACAAGCCUCCUGAUAAGAUACAAUGAGCAGGGCACACAUCACUUCUGUGUGAUUGCUGUGUCAUUAAGUGACAGAGCUCUUCCGUAGCACUCCUGAAGUUCUGAGGCUCAUCCUCUAUACCACCAUCACCACCACCACCCCCAAAAAACCAAAGUGCAUAGCCAAAUCUCAGAAGAAAACAUUGGAUCAACUACUACAAAAUAGCUAUCCAAGUGCUGAAAAAGCAGGGACUAAAGGAGACUAAAGGAACAUGGCCACAAGAUGUUCAUGGUUUAAAGUUGCAUCCUGAGCUGAGGAAUGCAGAAGAGCUUUAAUGAACAGUACUGAGACUAAUAAUAGCAUUUACAUAUGGACGGAAGUUUAAUGUUAAUAAAUACUGUUUCACAUGGCAUA